GCAUUGGUGGUUCAGUGGUAGAAUUCCCGCCUUCCACGCAGGAGGCUCAGUUUGAUUCCUGUUCACUGCA
rnacentral:tRNA from 1 species